rnacentral:rRNA from 1 species
UACGUAGGUGGCAAGCGUUGUCCGGAAUUACUGGGCGUAAAGCGCACGUAGGCGGAUACUUAAGUCAGGGGUGAAAUCCCGGGGCUCAACCCCGGAACUGCCUUUGAUACUGGGUAUCUCGAGUCCGGAAGAGGUGGGUGGAAUUCCUAGUGUAGAGGUGAAAUUCGUAGAUAUUAGGAAGAACACCGGUGGCGAAGGCGGCCCACUGGUCCGGUACUGACGCUGAGGUGCGAAAGCGUGGGGAGCAAACAGG